UCCGGUUUGUCACCGGCAGUCACCUUAGAGUGCCCAACUGAAUGCUGGCAACUAUUCACAAGGGUUGCGCUCGUUGAUGGACUUAACCAAACAUCUCACGACACGAGCUGACGACGGCCAUGCAGCACCUGUCACCUUGUUCAAUAAAGCACUCUCGCCUUUCGGCAAAAUUCAAGGGAUGUCAAGCCCUGGUAAGGUUCUUCGCUUAUCAUCGAAUUAAAGAACAUCCUCCACUACUUGUGCGGGUCCCCGUCAAUUCCUUUAUGUUUUAGCCUUGCGGCCGUACUCCACAGGCGGGAUACUUAACGCGUUAGCUUCGCUACGGAGGGGGUCGAUACCCCCCACAGCUAGUAUCCAUAGUUUACGGCGUGGACUAC
rnacentral:misc_RNA from 1 species